rnacentral:rRNA from 1 species
CCCGACUGCUAUUUGGGUGAGGAUAAGCCAUGCGAGUUGAAUGGGAAACCUAAAAAUCCCAUGGCAAACUGCUCAGUAACACAUGAUCAACUUACCCUAUAGAGGAAAAUAACCUCGGGAAACUGAGGAUAAUGUUCCAUAGUUGAAUUGGCUUGGAAAAGUUUUUCAAUAAAAGGGAUAAGGAAAAUGGUUCUUAUCUGCUAUAGGAUAGGAUCGUGCUCGAUUAUGGUUGUUGGUGAGGUAAAGGCUCACCAAGCCGAUAAUCGAUAGGGGCCGUGAGAGCGGGAGCCCCGAGAUGGGUACUGAGACAACGACCCAGGCCUUACGGGGCGCAGCAGGCGCGAAACCUCCGCAAUACACGAAAGUGUGACGGGGUUACCCAAAGUGUUCUAUUUAGAACUGUGGUAGGUGAGUAAUGUUCCCUACUAGAAAGGAGAGGGCAAGGCUGGUGCCAGCCGCCGCGGUAAAACCAGCUCUUCAAGUGGUCGGGAUAAUUAUUGGGCUUAAAGUGUCCGUAGCCGGUUUAGUAAGUUCCUGGUAAAAUCGGGUAGCUUAACUAUCUAUAUGCUAGGAAUACUGCUAUACUAGAGGGCGGGAGAGGUCUGAGGUACUACAGGGGUAGGGGUGAAAUCUUAUAAUCCUUGUAGGACCACCAGUGGCGAAGGCGUCAGACUGGAACGCGCCUGACGGUGAGGGACGAAAGCCAGGGGAGCGAACCGGAUUAGAUACCCGGGUAGUCCUGGCCGUAAACGAUGCAUACUAGGUGAUGGCACGGCCACGAGCCGUGUCAGUGCCGUAGGGAAACCGUUAAGUGUGCCGCCUGGGAAGUACGGUCGCAAGGCUAAAACUUAAAGGAAUUGGCGGGGGAGCACCACAAGGGGUGAAGCCUGCGGUUC